rnacentral:rRNA from 1 species
UGGGGAAUAUUGGACAAUGGGCGAAAGCCUGAUCCAGCCAUGCCGCGUGUGUGAAGAAGGUCUUCGGAUUGUACAGCACUUUAAGUUGGGAGGAAGGGCAUUAACCUAAUACGUUAGUGUUUUGACGUUACCGACAGAAUAAGCACCGGCUAACUCUGUGCCAGCAGCCGCGGUAAUACAGAGGGUGCAAGCGUUAAUCGGAAUUACUGGGCGUAAAGCGCGCGUAGGUGGUUUGUUAAGUUGGAUGUGAAAUCCCCGGGCUCAACCUGGGAACUGCAAUCAAAACUGACUGACUAGAGUAUGGUAGAGGGUGGUGGAAUUUCCUGUGUAGCGGUGAAAUGCGUAGAUAUAGGAAGGAACACCAGUGGCGAAGGCGACCACCUGGACUAAUACUGACACUGAGGUGCGAAAGCGUGGGGAGCAAACA